rfam:Rattus norvegicus chromosome 15, whole genome shotgun sequence.
GGGGAUUUAGCUCAGUGGUAGAGCGCUUGCCUAGCAAGCACAAGGCCCUGGGUUCGGUCUCCAGCUCCG